CUGCUGCUGGGAUAUUUUUCUCUUCACGUGACACGAAGGAUCGUGGAGAAGUGGAAUGGCUGUUAUUACCGAAAACCGAGAAUCUGGUCAUCGCUGUCAACUCCAACGCGCGUCAUAUCCUCUGGGGUAACGGCAAGUCCAAUAACAGAGGUACACUCAAAUAAUAAUAAGGACGACCAUCAAUGUCUUCAUCGACACGCAUAUUCAAACAAUGAAGGAGUACUUCGGUCAAAACAAUCGGACUCCAAAAUCCCGUAGGCUGUUCUUGAUAACUGAUCGGCGCUUGCAUAGUAGGGGCUUGCCUAGAGUUAAGCUCGCAGUGAUAAGGCGAUUAGGGGAACGCGGAUUAAGUUAUUAUUUUAUGUUGUUAUUAUAUUUAAGUUGUUAUUUUAUAUUUCAAGCUACAGCGAAAAUGUGUUUGUUAUUUCAUUUGUAUUUUUAUUCUUUUAUUUAGGCGUAUGCCUAAUUUACCAAAUAUCUGAAACUAAAUUUUAGUAUUUCUUAAAAUUCAUCCCCUAGUUGUGUUAAAUAACAGAUCGUGUUCGACUAUUUAUUUUAAUUUUGUUUAAAUGUUGAGCAAUGUGUUUUGUAAAAUUGAACUUUUUUGUAAAUAUUAAUUAUUAAAUUAUUAUUAUAAAAGUAUGAUUUUUAUUAUUUACUACUACUAAGUUCAGGUAUUGGGAGAAGCAAAAUGUGAGGAUCGGUAAUUAUAUUAAUGGAAAAAAAUGGACGUUUUAGUCCAAUUUAUAUAGUCUGGCAAGAUCAGAACAGUUAAUUUUUGACUCAUUUUCUUAUCAUUAUGAUUAAAAGAGCCUAUUCUAUGCCGUGACCAUACGUGAUAAUUUUUUUUAUUAUAUAAAUUUAUAAAAUGUAGUCCUUAACAUUUUGCGUAUUCAUUUCCACAUAGUGCCUGGUAUCAUUGUGUAUACUUUUAUUUAAUCAAAUGUAUGGUUUCAACAGAUAAUCGACCUUCACAUUCAAAUAUAAGUCGUUGGUUCUCGAAACUUGUAAUUUGUAUUGAAAGCUAUUUUUGGACGAAGAUUAUUUGGUUUGUGAAAGUGCACCUUUAAACCAAUGACAAAAAGAAAUUUUCAAUAAAACGCUUAAAUGAAAGAGAUGCAAACAGUACUUCUAGCAUUUUUAGUCUUACUAGUAUUGUAUUAUGUUAUUAUUUCGGAAUGUUAUCUACUGAGAAGAGCUUUUAAGAAACUAUUUUCUAAUAAUUUACAAGGAAAUUUUGCAUUUUAUAUUAUAAUUCCUAACUAGUAUUUAGGAAAAAUAUAUAUCAAAUUGUAUGUAAUUAAUGUGUGAUUUCAUGUCAGUAAUUGUCAUGUUAGUAUUUGGGAGUCUUAAUGUAAGUAAAUCGAAUAUAUUUUCUGACUGCUCGAUUCGAUAAAAUUCGAACCUGCAUCUCUCGAUUUGAGCUGAGUGUUUUUUUCUAGUUAAGAAAUCCUACAAGGUACUUCCAAAUUGGCAUUUUAGAUUUAAAUAUACAUAUUCAAACUCUAGUCUUUGAUAACAAGUAUAUUGACUGUGGUUAUAACAGGGUUUAAGAUUAAAAAUAAAUCUAUUAAGUUUAAUAAAUACUAAUAAGUAAAGUCGUUGGAAGUCGACCUGACAGGAUAUAUUGUAGGCAAUGCGGCGUGUUAGAUCCCAUUGUUAAGAACCCACUUCCUCUGUUGUAUCUAAUAGUUAUUUUUUUUUUCUUUGAAAGGAACAAUAAAGAAUUUUAUUUUCAAAA